rnacentral:lncRNA from 1 species
AUGUGUCACGAGCCGCACUUAAGAGUAGUGCUAUUGCUUUGGUUUCGAAAUUUUUUCUCUCCUACAGUUGGAGAGUGAAUUAGUUCCGAUUAGGUAGAACAAUUUUCAGUUAUGUACGGAAUUAAAUGUUCUUAGUACGGUCUGGUACAAGUUGAGUUUAUAAAGAUUUUGAGUUAGGCCACGUUAUUAAACGUAGUGAGGGGAUUUAGUUAGAACAGUAGCUCACUUAAGAAUGCAUGAGCUGCUAGAGGUGUGUCUCUGGGAAUGAAACACGUUAGUCUGGGUAAGUCACGUGUCUACACCUCUUGCCUACACCACUCACCACCUCACUGACAGCCUUCUCCACCUAUAUCUCUAGAUUUUUCCGUCACUUGCAUGCCAACCAUACUCCUUUAGUUCUCAGAACCAGAGAUUACAUCCACUAAUCUCAUCUGCAUCCACCUAAAACCCAAAUCACCUUUCUUACCCAACCUUCCCAAGAACGAAGAAACCAGCCAUGGCAACGGGUUAGAAACAACUGAAGUCCCUAUCUUCUUCCGUUGCCGAGUGUAGAAGCUUGGGCUUUGGAAAUUAGACUGAGAUCAGUUCACUCCUAAGGUUUGGAAUUGGGGAAGAGUAGAGAAUUGGAGCUGGAGGUCGAUCGAGGGCUCUUGCCAGUUAAAAGGUGGGAUUGUGCAGUACAUAAAUCGAAGAAGAAGGAUUUUUGGGGUGAAGGCUACUUGACUGGGUAUUGAUCAAAUUGAGGAUUCCAGUGACCAAGGCUUACCCAACGACGGUGAUAGCUCGGAGAUUGUCUAAGCACGGAUUCCAGGAACUGAGCAGGAGCUAGCUGAGGACCAGACUUAGACACUUGGGUGUUGGCAUCGUCAAGUUG